GAACCUUCAGAUUUCAGAUUUGAUUAGGGUUUUAGCGUCUUCGGACCAGGCUUCAUUCCCCCCAAUUGUUGCUCCCUGUUUACUCCAUAUUUCUUCCUUCUUUUCAAAUUAGGGUUUCAGAUCCAGUGAAUGAACCCUUGUUAAAGGUUUGAUCUCUUACCUUACUUUCUCAGAUUCAUUUACAUGCGUUAUUGAUUGUUUGCAUGGAAAGAAAUAGUUUUCUUUUUUAAAUAGGUCUUUGGGGACCGAUAGAAAAAAAAAGUUUUCAGGUAUUUGCAGAUUGGUGUAAUGAUGAAAGAAUCUGACUUUCUUUCUCCUCUUGGAAUCUGAAAAGUUUCAUCAUGACAAACUUUUUAUACAUGUGUUUGUAUUUUUGAACUUUUCUACAUUGCUAUGAUUUUGCUAUGAUUGUUUCUUUUUGGAUCUUCAUGGUAUUGAAUGAUGAUGACGAUGAUAGUUUUUAUUA
rnacentral:precursor_RNA from 1 species